UAGGGAAUCUUCCACAAUGGACGCAAGUCUGAUGGAGCAACGCCGCGUGAGUGAAGUAGGUUUUCGGAUCGUAAAGCUCUGUUGUUGGUGAAGAAGGAUAGAGGCAGUAACUGGUCUUUAUUUGACGGUAAUCAACCAGAAAGUCACGGCUAACUACGUGCCAGCAGCCGCGGUAAUACGUAGGUGGCAAGCGUUGUCCGGAUUUAUUGGGCGUAAAGCGAGCGCAGGCGGAAUGAUAAGUCUGAUGUGAAAGCCCACGGCUCAACCGUGGAACUGCAUCGGAAACUGUCAUUCUUGAGUGCAGAAGAGGAGAGUGGAAUUCCAUGUGUAGCGGUGGAAUGCGUAGAUAUAUGGAAGAACACCAGUGGCGAAGGCGGCUCUCUGGUCUGCAACUGACGCUGAGGCUCGAAAGCAUGGGUAGCGAACAGG
rnacentral:rRNA from 1 species